rnacentral:rRNA from 1 species
UGAUCCUGGCUCAGAUUGAACGCUGGCGGCAGGCCUAACACAUGCAAGUCGAACGGUAACAGGAUAGCUUGCUAUCGCUGACGAGUGGCGGACGGGUGAGUAAUACUUAGGGAUCUGCCUCUGUGUGGGGGAUAACUAUUGGAAACGAUAGCUAAUACCGCAUAAUGUCUACGGACCAAAGCGGGCUUCGGCUCGUGCGCAGAGAGGAACCUAAGCGAGAUUAGCUAGUUGGUGAGGUAAAGGCUCACCAAGGCGACGAUCUCUAGCUGUUCUGAGAGGAAGAUCAGCCACACUGGGACUGAGACACGGCCCAGACUCCUACGGGAGGCAGCAGUGGGGAAUAUUGCACAAUGGGGGGAACCCUGAUGCAGCCAUGCCGCGUGUGUGAAGAAGGCCUUCGGGUUGUAAAGCACUUUCAGUUGUGAGGAAAGGUUGGUAGUUAAUACCUGCCAGCUGUGACGUUAACAACAGAAGAAGCACCGGCUAACUCCGUGCCAGCAGCCGCGGUAAUACGGAGGGUGCGAGCGUUAAUCGGAAUUACUGGGCGUAAAGCGCACGCAGGCGGUUUGUUAAGCGAGAUGUGAAAGCCCCGGGCUCAACCUGGGAGGGUCAUUUCGAACUGGCAGACUAGAGUUUUGGAGAGGGGAGUGGAAUUCCAGGUGUAGCGGUGAAAUGCGUAGAUAUCUGGAGGAACAUCAGUGGCGAAGGCGACUCCCUGGUCAAAGACUGACGCUCAUGUGCGAAAGUGUGGGUAGCGAACAGGAUUAGAUACCCUGGUAGU